UCUUCAUUUCACGUACUCUCUCACCGGCUCAGAGAGGCGAGAGAGUGUGCGAAAUGAAGAGA
rfam:Pristionchus pacificus strain PS312 contig8140, whole genome shotgun sequence.